rnacentral:rRNA from 1 species
AUUGAACGCUGGCGGCAGGCCUAACACAUGCACGUCGAACGAGUGGCGGACGGGUGAGUAAUGUCUGGGAAACUGCCCGCUGGAGGGGGAUAACUACUGGAAACGGUAGCUAAUACCGCAUACCAUCGGAUGUGCCCCGAUGGGUUUAGCUAGUAGGUGGGGUAACGGCUCACCUAGGCGACGCUCCCUAGCUGGUCUGAGAGGAUGCCCAGCCAGACUGGAACUGAGACACGGGCCAGACGCCUACGGGAGGCAGCAGUGGGGAAUAUGGCACAAUGGGCGCAAGCCUGAUGCAGCCAUGCCGCGUGUAUGAAGAAGGCCGUCGGGUUGUAAAGUACUUUAAGUGAGGAGGCGUGACUCGCAGAAGAAGCACCGGCUAACUCCGUGCCAGCAGCCGCGGUAAUAC